CUCACCCCCACAGCAACACACAACUGUCACACACACACUGUACAUAUACACAAGCACACUCCCACAGCAACACACAACUGCCACACACACACACUGUAAUAUACACAUGCACACCCCCACAGCAACACACAACUGUCACACACACACUGUACAUAUACACAAGCACACUCCCACAGCAACAUGUACUUACAAACACAAAGAAAUGGAGGCUUGGAGGGCCUCGACUGAGGAAAGGAGCGUGAAAGGGAAAUGUAUUGAAGAAGUGGGUGGAGCAGUGGUUCUUACCAUUCAGGGAACCUUGGCAUUAUGGGUAACUCACUAGAACACCCAUACUGUCCCCUGUGUGCUCACCCUCAGGGUGAGGUGCUGGGAUUGCCAUUCUUAACAGUUUCUUUGGGUGGCUGUUGGGAUUGGGGACCUUUGGAGUUUUACUAUUUCUGUUUUGACCCCAUAUCUGUAAUUUGGUAGUCGGGGAUCACAAUUUUACAAAACAUUUGUACUCUAGGCUCAAUCACACACAAAACAGAGAUAAUGGUAAUUUAAUGGGUGUAAGGCUGAGCUGAUGUUCACAAACAUAUCUAGUGUAACAUUAAUUUAUCUAAGCACUCAGUUUCCUUCUUUUUUAUUUUUUCUUGGCAAGAACAAGCAUUCUUU
rnacentral:lncRNA from 1 species